CAAACCCUUAUUUCACAUACGGCCGUCUCCCUCUCCCUCUCUCGAUCUCCCUCUCCCUCUAUCCCUCUCAAACUCCCUCUCUUGCGAUCUCCCUCUCCCGAUCUCAACCCUCUCUCUCGAUCUCCCUGUCACUCUUCCCCCCUCUCCCUCCAUCUCCCUCUCCCUCUUCCGAUCUCUACUCUCUCUCUAGAUCUCCCUCUCACUCUCCCUCCCUCUCUUGAUCUCCCUCCCCGUUUUUUGGUGAGCUGUUGCUGAAUUGAUCAGCUAGCAUGCGUAUUUAUGGUGAAGAUGUAUGGCUUGGAUCCUACAGAGUCCAGGGCACGUAACAUAUGGUAAUUAUAUCUAACUCCAGUUGUUUAUAUCUCUAUUGGCUGUCUACCUCCACUUCAUGCUCACGGAUCCUUUAGAUACCUGUUUCAAUUCAGUAAUGGUGUAUGACAUUGUAUCUACCUCCAGUUGUUUAUAUCUCUGCUGGCUAUCUCUCCUAGCUCCGCUGACAUAUGGAGUGUUGGAUGUACUGUCUGCUGGCUAUCUCUCCUAUCUCUGUUGGAUGUACUGUUAUCGAGAUGGCUACAGGAAAACCUCCCUGGAGCUAGCAGUACAAAGAUGUUGCUGCUCUAUUCUAUAUUGGGACAAUAAAGUCACAUCCACCCAUCCCUGAGCAUCUCUCGUUGGAGGCUAAGGAUUUUCUUUUGAAAUGUUUACAAGACAUCCCUUUGUCACUGGAGAAUAUAAGGAUCCUCAUCCAAUAUUUCGCUCCUCUUCUCUGGUUAGUGUCACUAUUUCUAGUUACUUUUGUCACUGGAGAAUUAAAAGUUUGUUUAUAUAUUAAGUGACAUGGACUGACCAAUUUAUUACCUGUAUGUUACCUGUCUCAAUACUGUUUUUAUCAGUCCAUCCCGGAUUUGUAAUUGUGGUUUGAAAGAUGAAGAUGGAUUCUUAAUGGAUAAGCUUCACCAUGCUAGUGAAGGGCGGAGGAAGUGGAGGCAAGGAAUAUUGAGCUUAUUUAUCGAAAUGACCAGUUAUGUUUAUGUCAGAUGUGCUAAACAUGUUUAUGAGGUUCUCGGUUUUUUGCAAUGAAGAUUAGUGGAUCUACAAUGUUGUUUUCAACAGAUGCAAAUUAUAUAUAUAUAGAUAAUAAGAAGAAAUCGGUCUGGGUGUUAAUUUGACCAACCCCAUCAUAUCGAGUUGGCUAGUCUAGUUUUGCAUAACAAAGUGUAAAAGAUCAUUACAUAGGGAAGAAGAACGGAUUCACUUCGACCUUUCGGCGAAAUCCCAAAUGGGCCAUAGUACAGGAAACAGUGGUGAUUGACCAUUAAAAACUUCCUAUGGGCUACAAAAGCUACAAACAGUGGACAUUGACAGGCUAGUUAAAAGCUUCGUUUUGUAAGGUUUUUUCACACAUCUUCCAUCUAUGGCAGAGCUUAUGAAAGUAAAGUUUGUAUCUCACAACUGUUGGCCCCACUUGUAAGUUGUAAUGUGUAUCCUGACACUUGAACCCAAUGCACUUAGAACUUAUUACUUCUGUUUUCUCCAUGAUUAGUUUUAGGAGUCAUUUGGAUGCCUGUAAAUUUUAUUAGUACAGGUAACUCACGGGCGGUGUUUGGAUAAGAAAUUUCACCGUUAGUUACAAAAUAGCAUAAGCUCACUUUCAGGUGGAACUUGUUUGCAACUUAGCAAGUUACAGGCAUCCAAACGACCACUUGAAAUAACUAUAUGCUCUAACAGGCAGGUUUUACUUACAAAUUUGAUUUAGGAAAUAUUGCGAUGACCACUAGAAUCACCUGAAAGGUGCAAUGAUUGGGAUUGCAUGAGAAAUAAAUUUCCAUUGAAGGCCUACUUCCUAAAUUUUAAAUACAUGGAAAAAUCAUUUUAAUUUGGUCAUUUCCUCUUCAUAUAAUUGAAUUUUCGCAAUUUAGUAUGGUUUUGCAUCAUAUAGCAUGUACUUAUGGUCGGUAGUGACUUCAAAAUAUAAUAUAGAAUUUUCAGCUGAAAUUUGAAAAGAUUUUGUAGAUGGUUGUCAAUUUCCCAAUUUUGAUUGAUGGAAACAUGAUGCAUUUUGAAGAAAACAAUAUACAAUGUUUGGCUACUCAGAACAGUCUGGUGGGCCUCAUGUGGAUGGGGCAUGCUGUGAAAAUCUCCAAUGUUGGAUGAUUCAAACUCGUAAUAGAUCAAUUGGGCCCAUGUUUUUCUCUUUUAGUGUGAGUUGUUGAUUGUAACCAUCCAUUUUGUGAGCCACCAAUCAGAUGGAAAGGGUUGUCUGAUGGAGGUAAUUUUCGCCAUGGCUCAUCCAUGAUGGGUUCUACUAGAUGAAUGGUUUACAUUACCAGAUGGUGGGCCCAGAAAAAUAAAAAGCACCAGCUAGCUUGCCUUAUAUCUGACUCAGUAACCUUUUGUAUGUGAUCAUAUGUAAAGAAACGAAACAUGUGAGGAGAUGCAGUUGGCCUGAUUGAUAUGACACUUGGAUAAACCCAUCUAUGAGAUGCUACUCAGGGGCUGCCGUGUUUCACAGCAUAGCUAGUAGAAUCUUUCAUCUUUUAGUUUUAUCAUAUUGUAGCCAUACAUACAGUCAAUCAUGUUCUUGUCUUGAGUGUACGUGAUGCUCAAUCAAAGGAAGCAAUAUUUAUUUUCUUCAACCAAAAAUUGGUACAAGAGCCCACCUUUCUGCAACCUAAGCCUCUGAUAGAAAUGGGAUAGACCAUGCCUAGUAUGUCCAUGCCAGAUAAUCUAAAUAAUACCAUAAAAUAAGCUUUUAGAGCUGUAGCAGAAUGCAGGAUAUCUGUAGUAGUGUGUUGGCAAGUGGCCUUAUUAAAUAAGCUUUUAGAGCUGCUUAAAGGGACUAUCCUUUGCAAUAGUGUGUUGGCAGGUCGUCUUCACUACGUUGGUGUUUUCUUUUUCUUGUUUGGAUCAUUGAAUGAAAGGCUAUUGAGUUUUAUUGGACUAUUUGUACUGCUAUCUGUUAUAUCAACUUGUAUUUUUCUAUGAAAUAAAUAAGUUUGAGAUAAUGAUAUGAAAAUUGGACAGCUUGGGUUGAUCAUUCGAUUUUACUCUUACUUUUUCUUUUUCUUUUUAAAAU